rnacentral:rRNA from 1 species
CCUACGGGGAGCAGCAGUCGAGAAUCUUUCACAAUGGGGGAAACCCUGAUGGUGCGACGCCGCGUGGGGGAAUGCAGGCCUUCGGAUUGUAAACUCCUUUUGUUAGAGAAGAUAAUGACGGUAUCUAACGAAUGAGCACAGGCUAACUCCGUGCCAGAAGCCGCGGUAAUACGGAGGCUGCAAGCGUUACUCGGAAUCACUGGGCGUAAAGAGAGCGUAGGCGGGAUAGCAAGUCAGAUGUGAAAUCCUAUGGCUUAACCAUAGAACUGCAUUUGAAACGGUUAGUCUAGAGUAGGGGAGAGGUAGGUGGAAUUCGUGGUGUAGCGGUAAAAUCCGUAGAGAUCAAGAAGAAUUCUCAUUGCGAAGGC